rnacentral:rRNA from 1 species
ACGUGCAGUCGACGGGAUAUCACUUGUAGCAAUACCGGUGAUGUCUAGUGGCGCAAGGGUGCGUAACACGUGGGGAAUCUGCCGAGAAGUGGGGGAUAGCUCGCCGAAAGGCGAAUUAAUACCGCAUGUGGUUAGGGAAGACAUCUUUCCGACACCAAAGCCGGGGCAACCUGGCGCUUCUUGAUGACCCCGCGGCCUAUCAGCUAGUUGGUGAGGUAACGGCUCACCAAGGCUAUGACGGGUAGCUGGUCUGAGAGGACGACCAGCCACACUGGAACUGAGACACGGUCCAGACACCUACGGGUGGCAGCAGUCGAGAAUUUUUCUCAAUGGGCGCAAGCCUGAAGGAGCGACGCCGCGUGGAGGAUGAAGGUCUUCGGAUUGUAAACUCCUGUCAUUAGGGAACAAAGUCCCCGGUUUACUGCCGGCGGGCCUGAUAGUACCUGAAGAGGAAGAGACGGCUAACUCUGUGCCAGCGGCCGCGGUAAUAUAGAGGUCUCAAGCGUUGUUCGGAUUCAUUGGGCGUAAAGGGUGCGUAGGUGGCGCCGUAAGUCAGGUGUGAAAUCUCGGGGCUCAACCCCGAAACUGCACUUGAUACUGCGGUGCUCGAGUACUG